GGAUGGGUGGGUGGUAGUGUAGGUUCUACACAGUGCAGAGGGUAAAUACAAGAACACUAAUACUGAAACGUAUACAAAGGGUGUGUCCGUGUAAUGUUGCCUUUUACAAAAACCCUCUGCACCUGGAUAUGAAGAGCAGGCCUGUGAUAAAGACAAAAAGAGACAAGGCCUGGAUCUGGAAAAGAAUACCCUAAAUCUAGUGAAGAUCCACUAUGGUCCAACUGAGAACCCUAAGUGGACACGUGGCACAUGGAGGAUUGUAAAUGUGUGAGACGGACAAGUGGUGCCAUCCACCAAACUAUCAUUUUUGUUUAAUGAUUGGUACAAAUCUGUCAAAAUCCACAAAGGACCCUUUGUUUUUUUUCUUUUGGCGUUUCUUCUGUCUCUAUCCGUUUUGGAAUUUUGUGGAAACUAGGGAAUACCUUUUUUUGUGUGUG